rnacentral:rRNA from 1 species
UACGGAGGGUGCAAGCGUUAUCCGGAUUUACUGGGUUUAAAGGGUGUGUAGGCGGACUAUUAAGUCAGUGGUGAAAUCCCGAGGCUCACCUCGGAACUGCCUUUGAUACUAUUAGUCUUGAAUGUUGUUGAGGUGGGCGGAACGGGUCAUGUAGCGGUGAAAUGCAUAGAUAUGACGCAGAACACCAAUUGCGAAGGCAGCUUGCUACACUGUUAUUGACACUGAGGCACGAAAGCGUGGGGAUCAAACAGG